GACGGGGGGGCAAGUGUUCUUCGGAAUGACUGGGCGUAAAGGGCCCGUAGGCGGUGAAUCGGGUUGAAAGUGAAAGUCGCCAAAAAGUGGCGGAAUGCUCUCGAAACCAAUUCACUUGAGUGAGACAGAGGAGAGUGGAAUUUCGUGUGUAGGGGUGAAAUCCGUAGAUCUACGAAGGAACGCCAAAAGCGAAGGCAGCUCUCUGGGUCCCUACCGACGCUGGGGUGCGAAAGCAUGGGGAGCGAACAGG
rnacentral:rRNA from 1 species